rnacentral:tRNA from 1 species
GGUGGCUUAAUGGCAGAGUGCUUGCCUUGCAUGCAUGAGGCCUGGGUUCAAUUCUCAGUACCA